rnacentral:rRNA from 1 species
GAUGAACGCUGGCGGCGUGCCUAAUACAUGCAAGUCGAGCGAACAGACGAGGAGCUUGCUCCUCUGACGUUAGCGGCGGACGGGUGAGUAACACGUGGAUAACCUACCUAUAAGACUGGGAUAACUUCGGGAAACCGGAGCUAAUACCGGAUAAUAUAUUGAACCGCAUGGUUCAAUAGUGAAAGACGGUUUUGCUGUCACUUUUAGAUGGAUCCGCGCCGCAUUAGCUAGUUGGUAAGGUAACGGCUUACCAAGGCAACGAUGCGUAGCCGACCUGAGAGGGUGAGCGGCCACACUGGAACUGAGACACGGUCCAGACUCCUACGGGAGGCAGCAGUAGGGAAUCUUCCGCAAUGGGCGAAAGCCUGACGGAGCAACGCCGCGUGAGUGAUGAAGGUCUUCGGAUCGUAAAACUCUGUUAUUAGGGAAGAACAAAUGUGUAAGUAACUAUGCACGUCUUGACGGUACCUAAUCAGAAAGCCACGGCUAACUACGUG